rnacentral:rRNA from 1 species
CCUACGGGUGGCAGCAGUGAGGAAUAUUGGUCAAUGGACGCAAGUCUGAACCAGCCAUGCCGCGUGCAGGAAGACGGCUCUAUGAGUUGUAAACUGCUUUUGUACGAGGGUAAACGCAGAUACGCGUAUCUGUCUGAAAGUAUCGUACGAAUAAGGAUCGGCUAACUCCGUGCCAGCAGCCGCGGUAAUACGGAGGAUUCAAGCGUUAUCCGGAUUUAUUGGGUUUAAAGGGGGCGUAGGCGGUCGGAUAAGUUAGAGGUGCAAUCCCGCGGCUCAACUUCGGAAUUGCCUCUGAUACUGUUCGGCUAGCGCGUAGUUGCGGUCGGCGGCAUGUAUUGUGUAGC